UGGGGAAUAUUGCACAAUGGGGCGAAAGCCUGAUGCAGCAACGCCGCGUGAGCGAAGAAGGUCUUCGGAUUGUAAAGCUCUGUCCCUGGGGAAGAUAAUGACGGUACCCAAGGAGGAAGCCCCGGCUAACUACGUGCCAGCAGCCGCGGUAAUACGUAGGGGGCAAGCGUUAUCCGGAUUUACUGGGUGUAAAGGGAGCGCAGGCGGUCCUGCAAGUCUGAUGUGAAAGCCCGGGGCUCAACCCCGGGACUGCAUUGGAAACUGUGGGACUUGAGUGUCGGAGGGGCAAGUGGAAUUCCUAGUGUAGCGGUGAAAUGCGUAGAUAUUAGGAGGAACACCAGUGGCGAAGGCGGCUUGCUGGACGACAACUGACGCUGAGGCUCGAAAGCGUGGGGAGCAAACAGGAUUAGAUACCCUGGUAGU
rnacentral:rRNA from 1 species